rnacentral:rRNA from 1 species
UGGGGAAUCUUGGACAAUGGGGGCAACCCUGAUCCAGCGAUGCCGCGUGGGUGAAGAAGGCCUUCGGGUUGUAAAGCCCUUUAGGCGGGGAAGAAGUGUAUAGGAUGAAUAAGCCUGUACAUUGACGGUACCCGCAGAAUAAGCACCGGCAAACUCUGUGCCAGCAGCCGCGGUAAUACAGAGGGUGCGAGCGUUAAUCGGAUUUACUGGGCGUAAAGGGCGCGUAGGCGGUUGUGUGAGUGUGAUGUGAAAGCCCCGGGCUUAACCUGGGAAGUGCAUCGCAAACGACACAACUGGAGUAGAUGAGAGGGUGGCGGAAUUUCCGGUGUAGCGGUGAAAUGCGUAGAGAUCGGAAGGAACGUCGAUGGCGAAGGCAGCCACCUGGCAUCAUACUGACGCUGAGGCGCGAAAGCGUGGGGAGCGAACAGGAUUAGAUACCCCCGUAGUCC